AGGGAUGUAGCUCAAUGGCAGAGCAUCUGCUGGGCAGGCAGAAGACUUCAGGUUCAAUUUCCUGCACCUCCA